UGAUCAUGAACUGAUUAGUUAAGAGAAGGAGAGGGGGCCAGACUCCAACAAAAGUCAGAUUUUGGUUGAAGUCAGAGAGAGGUUGUGAGAUUGCCAUCCCUUGACAUCUUUUUAAAAGUGAAUUGUUUAAUCACUUUUUUUUAAGCUGAUUUCUUAGCCAUCUUGCAGAAAUAUGAGGCAGGGGCACUUAUCCAUUAGGUACAGUAGGUAAGGUAACUAAGCCCAAUGACACCCUUAGCAGCCCAUGAAAAUGGUUUAGUUUCUUUCAUAAAAUGGUGCUGAAGAUAAUGAUAGUUGCAAAGGAAAAAAUACGGUAGACCAAUAUCAUAGUAUGUUACCAAGCAUAGGGCCUAUUAUUGGAAGCUAUUUCCAGUGCUCAGGAUAUUAACAUCUCCUGGAGCGUCUGCAAAACACAUCUUGAAGGCAGAACCAUAGUCCUCAAUUUGGCCUGCCUCUUUUAUUUGACAAUAAAGUUUUAUUUAUUUCUGAGCAUAAGAUUGGGAUUUUAUUUCUAGAAAAAGGGAGAAAAGGUGGAAGGAGGAGGAGGCAGGGAAAAGGUGGAAACUUGCCCAGGCCCAUAGCAGGAGCCCAACACAGGGAACACUUAAGCUUGUGUAGAGUACUUGUAACCAGAAGCCCGGAGGUGGAGCACAGCAGAGGAUGCAAUGUGCCACUGUCGCGGCCAGAGCCCAUGCAGUGUAAACAUUAACAUUCUUGGAUGCACUAAGCACUGGGCUGCGGUCUACACUUGCAUUCUGAGGUGGUGGAGUCAUGGCCAAAAUUUUGGAGUACUUGGACUUUUCUCAAGAAGCGUUGCACUUCUUGUCCGGACCGGGGAUUACCGCAGAUCGCAGCCCAGAGUCUGCGGAGGCGCACCGUUUCAUCAACAGCAGGGACUGAAACUUCAGCCCAGGAGAAGCCAAGAUGGCACCGUUAUCGCACCCUGGGAAUCGAGGACCGGGAAGAACUUAAUGAUGCGAUUCCUCCCGUGAUCUCAGUGAUUGUAUCAGGCGAAAACGAGGAGGGCAAAAUACCGUCCAGAUGUAAACUAGGAGCAGCCGCACCAGCAGCACCAGCAGAAUGCCGUGGUAGUGCGGCAGGCCCUGGCCCCAUGGACAAAGAGAAACUCGUCAGUGGCAGUGGCCACGAACUCAGAAAGCCUGAGGACAGUCAGCAGCUCCUCUGGCUCUUCACUUUCACACUGGUGCAACUACAGGAGCUGAAGAACAUUUUUCAACUCGUUCCAUACCCGGACGUGUUAGAUGGAGUCUCCCUCUGUCGCCCAGGCUGGAGUGCAGUGGCGCGAUCUCGGCUCACUGCAACCUCCACCUCCCGGUUUUAUGCGAUUCUCCUGCCUCAGCCUCCCGAGUAGCUGGGACUACAGUGGCCUCAGGGAUAUGGAAUUAAGAUCCACCUGGUGUGAUGAAUAAACCCAGACUCUCAGCAACGCAGGAAAAAAAAAACAAAAACUGGCUGGCGAUCUGGAGUAAAGGAUCCUCACAUCCACGUGAACCAGGAAACUCUGUGCCCAAAUCGACGAAAAAAAAACACUGGGAGAGCCGAACUAAAAGUCUUUUAGCACGGGUACCAGCCCUAGAAUUUCCAGUACACCAGCAGCAGCCUGGAAACCACAUCCUCAUCAAAAGACAGAAAGAAAAAAACUCGAGCCAGCCUGAGAAGGACCCUAUUUUAUGCUGUUAACCACUGAGACUGCCAUCCUCACAGCUGAGAAAGGAUGGACCCACCAUACUCAAGUCAAGAAAACAUCUUCCUCGUCAGAAUCAUGGGUUACUGUACUAGGAUUAAGCCUUACUAAGUUAAAGUUAAAGAAAGCUUAAUUUUCAUAUACCUUCUAUAUUGCUUCUUUUCCUUUCCUUAUUCUGUUACUAGCUCCUUUGUUAUUAAUGUAACUAAGUCUGAGUCACCUCAGACCAUUGCCUUUUAUGCUUGCUCUGUCAUACCUUGUGGAAAUGUAAAAGAUCAAUGACAGCUAGCCUUUUCACACAAUUAUUUAUGCCUCGGCCCUCUAAUUGACACAGUUACCCCUAGCACUCAUCGUUGUGAUCACCUGCAGCCAAGACGCUGAUUUUCUGCUCCUAUAGCCUGGCAACCUUGUGGUACAUGGGACUACGUCCUUUAAACUACCCAGGAGCAAAGUUGGACUUCCAUGAAAAAGGUUUGUGCAGAUCUAAAACCUCUCAUCUAUUUCACUAAAAGGACUUCCCCUUCUAACUGUCACCCUUACCAAUGUAACCCUGUCCUCUCUAUCACCACCUCCACCUGUCUUUAACUAACUCUAGACCUGUCCUUAAUUGCUUUUAUGGUAUUGGAAUAGGAAUUAAAAGAAAUUAAAGAAUGUGUAAGGAGAAACUCAGUUGUAUGUAAGAAAACCCAAUUCCCCCUGAGAAAGAGAAAGAGUUGGAGUCCUUUAAAAAUUAACUGCCUGUUUUUCUGUGGCUAGUGAGCCUUAUCUCUCCUCCUUUCCCAGACAUUGUGAAGACCCUGUUUCUCUAGCUGUGCAGCUGCAAGGUCACUAGACAGAUAAACUCAAGUUGUAAAACAUGUUUUUCCUUGAAAAGUAAGAAAUGCUGUAAUGCAUUUCUCAAUUAAUUAAAUAACUGUCUUUGUUUCUCGCUUCUGUAAUAUGCUUCCCCCUGCACAGAUCUCCACCCACCCUACAAAAUGCUUAAAAGGUAACUUAACUCUUUGUUCUGGGCUCAGUCCUUUGGGCUGAGUACUGGGCCGGUGCACCUAAAUAAUAAAUAUCUUCCUGAACCCCA
rnacentral:lncRNA from 1 species